UCUCACCAACACGAUCUUUUGUACCGAUAUGAAUACUUAAUGAUGCCAUUACAGUUUUAUGAUGACUUUAAAAACAUGUUUUAUUCAUAAGUUGUUCCUUACUUUUUGACCGUAACUGCUACCAGUAUCAUUAGCUUUGUUUUUAUUUAUAAACAUUUCACUUAAAU